rnacentral:rRNA from 1 species
GCAAGUCGAGCGGAUGAAGGGAGCUUGCUCCUGGAUUCAGCGGCGGACGGGUGAGUAAUGCCUAGGAAUCUGCCUGGUAGUGGGGGAUAACGUCCGGAAACGGGCGCUAAUACCGCAUACGUCCUGAGGGAGAAAGUGGGGGAUCUUCGGACCUCACGCUAUCAGAUGAGCCUAGGUCGGAUUAGCUAGUUGGUGGGGUAAAGGCCUACCAAGGCGACGAUCCGUAACUGGUCUGAGAGGAUGAUCAGUCACACUGGAACUGAGACACGGUCCAGACUCCUACGGGAGGCAGCAGUGGGGAAUAUUGGACAAUGGGCGAAAGCCUGAUCCAGCCAUGCCGCGUGUGUGAAGAAGGUCUUCGGAUUGUAAAGCACUUUAAGUUGGGAGGAAGGGCAGUAAGUUAAUACCUUGCUGUUUUGACGUUACCAACAGAAUAAGCACCGGCUAACUUCGUGCCAGCAGCCGCGGUAAUACGAAGGGUGCAAGCGUUAAUCGGAAUUACUGGGCGUAAAGCGCGCGUAGGUGGUUCAGCAAGUUGGAUGUGAAAUCCCCGGGCUCAACCUGGGAACUGCAUCCAAAACUACUGAGCUAGAGUACGGUAGAGGGUGGUGGAAUUUCCUGUGUAGCGGUGAAAUGCGUAGAUAUAGGAAGGAACACCAGUG